rnacentral:tRNA from 1 species
GCCACCUUAGCUCAGCUGGUAGAGCAAUUGUUUUGUAAACAAUAGGUCCCCGGUUCGAUCCCGGGAGGUGGCU